UGAAUGCAAAGCAUAAAUCUCUUCUCCCCCGCCCCUUCCAAGUUUGGGGACAUUGAGAAAGGAGUCUCGUUAUCAUUAUCAGGCUGUUUCUGUAGAUAAAGUGGCACAAGGUCUCUGAUGGUCACUGACGCAGAGCUCAGAUGUUUUUGGUGCAAAUCCAGAGAUGUAUUUACUUACUAGAAUAUACAGAACACAGGGAAGCAGUGCCAACAGGACACAGCACAGAGGAAAGCAAAGAGAAGAAUACCACGUAAUACAAUCUGUACAGCUGGACUGCCAGGUAAGGACAAACAUUAGCUCUCCCCUCUGCCAUCCCAACUGUGAUCAAUGAACAGCCAAACAUUAAACAGAAGGGGCACAACAAUUUGACAGCCUAGGACAGCGAACAGAGGACAGGCAAACAGAGGGAGGUUUCCUGGGAGUUUAUCUGUGGGGAGUUCGCAGAGUGUUUUUGCCUUUCAGGCUCCUGGGACCAGUAGAUACAACAUCUGAGGAGCCUUUUAGAAGGAAGAUAUGGAUAGUGAGCGCUCAGCUGUUGUGACCUGCUCAGAAUGUGCCAUAUUUGUCUCUCUCCCAGAGGACAGAAGCGACUUUGUACGAAGUGCAAGCUAGUCUGCGUAUUGGAAGAGAAGGUUAGAGGACUAGAGAACCAAGUAUCAACCCUGCGUUGCCUCAGAGAAAAAUGAUUUUCUGGAUAGAAGUCGGUGUUUGGUUCUGGACGCAAAAUGUGCUGAAGAAUCAGAGAGUGCAGAGUAGAGCGGGGAAGAAUAUUGACAGCAUGUGACCUCCAGAGGAAGAAAGAGGAGAACCCACGUACCCCCAAUGCAGAUAGAGGUGACAGUUUUCAGGCUCUCUGCACAGGUACUAAUGCAGAGAAGGAUUUGGAAGAGCCCUUUGAGGGAGGGAGUCAGAAGGAGACUCCGUCGGCCAGAAGGCAUGGGAUGCAUUGUCCUAGGGAUGGAGGUUCCAUGACCACCACCCCCAAGAGGAGGAGACGGGUGGGAGUGGUAGGGGACUCCCUCCUCAGGGAGGGAGUACAGAGUCAUCUAUCUGUCGACCGGACCGGGAGACUUGAGAAGUGUGCUGCUUGCCUGGAGCUAGAAUCCAGGAUGUGACCGAGUGUUUGCCGAGACUGAUCAAGACCUCGGACCGCUACCCCUUCCUACUUCUCCACGUGGGCACCUUGAGCAAAUCAUUGCACACUACGUGGCUCUGGGAAGAAGGAUAAAGGAGUUUGAGAUGCUGGUCGUGUUCUCAUCCAUCCUUCCUGUUAAAGGAAAAGGCCCAGAGUCUGCAGACAUGUCGACAUUUCAGGGGUAUCGGUAUCAAAGGCAGCUGUCAGAUCUACAGAAACAACAUGGAUAUUUGGUCUUCAUCCAUCAUCAAGAGAAGACUGACAACUGAAAUGAGAGCAACUUUCAACCACAGCAUCAAAUCCACCAUCUCUGGGCCCAGACCCUUAGAUCCCUUCCUCUUCCAAAAAAAUUAUUUGUGCAGCUCCUUCUCCAAAUAAGGUACAUGACCACUAGGGCUGACUUGGAGUCUGUUCCAAAUUCAAGCCACCCACGAAUCACGAAUCAAGGAAAUUAAAUACAAAUGCUCAAACAGUUAAAGUGCUUUAAGACUGUAAGUGGCUGUUCUUCCAACCACUUUCCAUGUGCAGUUCUAAUUUCCAACUCCUACUUCAGAGAAGUGAGAGCUAGCAGGGUUACUUGGCUUGUGAAUAUCCUGCUAACAUUUUAAACAGCAUCCAUAACACCCACCUUGCUACACAAUUGAAUUUCAAAGCCCUGGCAAUUGACAUGUUUACCAGAUGAUUUGGUUUUCCACCUGCCUGAGUUACUUGGCUUUUGAGAACAGGUGACGGAAUGAACUCUCCACCUUGUUCAAACAAGCUCAACCAAAACAGCGCAACUCCAUAGAUCUGCAGGAAUGUCCAGGCUCUGCCCAGUUCCCCCAGGCACUCGGUGUAACAGCUACAAUUAACACAGGGACUGCCCAAACCACCAGCAGGUGUUUUCUCCCAGAUAGGGAUUUACAGCUGGAAGUACAGGCUUAUUCAGGGUAUUAAAACUAUGCUCAGUAGAUGUCUCACAGACUAGUUCUGCUUGGCAGAGGGGAACAGCCUGCAUCAGCAAGACCAACAGAGGCUUGGUCUGCAGGAUAAUAUGAACAUAUGGACACACUGUUAAGCAUUUGAUGCUAUAAACAAGGAACAAUUCUGGAAGCUGUUCAUGGACCAUAGCAAAGAGGAGGAUUCCAGGGGCACUGAGGUCAGUUAGGCCUACAACAGUAAAAAGGGCAGAGUCUAUUCUUCAGCUCCCCUUCUGAAGAGAACUAAUGCCUAGAGCGGUGGUUCCCAAAGCAUGGCCCCCCAGUCACAUGAUGCUGGCUGGCUUUUCCUAUUUCUAGCGACCAAACUGCAUGAAAAGCAGCUAAAAAGACAGUAAGUAUUUCCUAGUGUUACCUUUCCAUGGCAGCCAUUGCGGUAAUUGCCACAUUUCUUCAGUCAGCAGAGGGGAGGCAGAGAGCAGGAUCAUGAAUUAGGAGGAAUGUCACUACAAGGAAUUUGAGACCCCUAGACCUGAAGAAUGAAGUCCAUGAGCCCUACGGGGUCCCUCAGGGAAGGAGAGGAAAAUCACAUUGUAUAUGCACCUCAAGUUACCCCAAAAAUGAUCCUGCCCAUGAACAUUCUCAAAGGCCCCGUUCAACGUGUCCAACAAUAACCAUGAUGCAUAAUUUCCUCUGUAUUAUGGCCAAGGAGAAGAGGUCACUGAUUUCCAGGACAGCUUUGGCUGUGCUCAUUCAACCACAGAACGGACUCAAGAAAGGAGUCAAACUACCCUGAUGCAAGUCCCAGUCCCAAAUGAGGUGGCUUCUCAUUAGUGCCUAUGCUGUAAAACUCCCCACAUCCCGAAAGCUACAUGGACAUCCCAGAACGUGAUCUAGUGGUUAGGGGACAAGGAAUCACAACUGCUAGGUUCCUUGAUUGGCUCUGCCACUGACUCACUGUGUGACCCUGGGAAAAAUCAUCAACUCUCUGGGCCUUCAUUUCCCUAUCUACAAGAUGGAGCCAUCGCAAUGUUUGCAGGGAUGGAGAGUGAGAGCUGGGUGUGUUUUAGAGGCAGGCUGGCUGGCUUCAAACAUUCCCCUACAAAGCCAUCCCGUAACGAGGCUGAGCGCCAGCCAACAUGCCAAUUCAGUUAUUCAGACAGAGGAAUUUCCCCAUUUGCAGAAUCUGCUCUCAACUGUUGUGUUUCUCCUCUCCUGGCGUUCUCCAGCACAGGACUAUUUUAACGGCUCAUUCUGUCCAGUCACAGAGCAAUUCCAACAGCCUGCUGGCAAGAGGAUGACUUUCAGUUAUCUGAUCCAGUCUGACAGAUGAGUUAUUAGUGCAUGCACCAAACCUCAAUGAGUGCAUGCUGCGCCCUCCUCCCUUUGCUAGGUCACUAACCAGAAGGCAGGGAUAAUAAAAAGGUAAGUGAGAUUAGCACAAGGGGAGAAGGAAGGGGGAGAAAGAGCUCACAGGCACCAAACACCCAAGCUACACUACAUCUCAUUCAUCAGUUCAACAUAAAUACAUGGUCUACUUAGAAAUUCAAACGUCUAAAGAGAAGUGGGGGCCAAAAUAAUCAAGGAGCUGUAAUCAGGGAGAGUGUAAAAUUAAAUUCACUUAGCUUAGAAUACAGUGACUCUAUAUAGCUACCCUUGCCUAGAAAGGUUAAUAGCUGUUUGCAAUUCCAUAGCAGGUAACGUAGCAAUCAAUGGUGUAGAAAAUGGAAACAAGGAAAUGGACCUGUUGGCACAUUUCUAGCAAGUGAAGAGUGAGUAGAGAGAGUCUGGAAGGUCCCAGGCACUUCUGAAUCACUUAGCCCACUGGUACGCCGACCUCAGUGGUUCUGGAGCCAAAUUAGGGAUCAGGUUUACCAAAAAGAGCCACAGCAGUGUAAAUUCAGUGUUUAAUUGACUAUAGUGCUAUAGAUUCAAACACAGUGUUUUCAUAUCAUGUGCUGCAAAGAGCCGCAGGAGAUGCAUCAAAGAGCCACUUGCCACUCAAGAGCCUCAGUCGGAGUAUCACUGACUUAGCCCUUUAAUUCUCCCCCAACUUAUUUUUGAUCCUUUUAGACCUACUGGCAAAAGCAAUAUUGUCCAUUGAUGACCAACUUCUGAGACCUACACAUUUCAGAGUGAUGGAUCAAAAGCUAAGGCCCAAAAUUUACUUCCUUUAAAAUAGCUACAACCGUCUGAGGAGCAUUCUAGAUUUUAAAAUUCACCAUUUCAGUCAUGAGACGUUGAAGUAAAUAAAAGCCGUUAUUUCUAUAGG